GUCUUUUAUUGUGAUGUUGAACAUAAGUCGAUUGGGGAGAUACCUUCGUGUUGCACCGCUAAUAACACAAUAUCAAGAGGACCUAACUGCACCAUUGAAAGUGUUUUUCAAGUUGACUCUGGAAAGUAUUGGUGUGAGGAAGGAGGAGAGAGAAGUAACAUCAUAAACAUCAAUGUUCCUUCUGGUUCUGUGAUCCUGGAGAGUCCUGCUCUUCCUGUGAUGGAGGGAGAAGAUGUGACUCUGAGCUGCAGAACCAAAAUAUCUUCCUCCAACAUCCAAGCUGAUUUCUAUAAAGAUGGAGCCCACAAGUGGAGAAGCUCCACAGGAAAUCUGAUCAUCAAAACAGUCUCUAUGCUUGAUCAAGGAUUCUACAAAUGUCACAUCUCUGGAGUUGGAGAAUCACCUCAGAGCUGGCUAUCUGUUGGAGUUUCAGGUUAUUCUAUCGCUGAUACAGAAGAUACAGAAGAUCAAGUAGAUUCUAACCCUGACUCCUCGUCCAGUACACCAUGGAUCAUCAUCGCCGUCUUGUUGACACUUUUCUUGUUGGUCGUGGGACUACUAAUCUGCUUUGGCAGAUUUGCCUGUAGAAGAGGCUCUGUACAUGCCAAUGCAGCUGCACCAAGCCAACCAAUAUACGCUACUGUAUCAACGACCAGGAAGAAGAACGCAGCUGAGUCCAGAGUUCACUCAACGACACGAGACCCUGUUGACUAUGACGUAUGCUAUUCUACAGUUAAGUGUGUAAGUCAGAUACAGUCUAUUGUCUCCUCCUCUUUCUAUGAGCAUGUUCUUGCUGUCCGCUUAUAGAAAGAAAACUCAAAAGCAACUUAAAAACCUUGAGUCAGCGAGCUCCUCGUCUUCUGUCAGUGCAGCAUCUACACAUCCUGUAUGAAUCUCCAACAUUUUAAACUCUGUCUCCAAGGACUGAUUCUAUUGUC